rnacentral:rRNA from 2 species
CAUCCUGGGGCUGAAGCAGGUCCCAAGGGUAUGGCUGUUCGCCAUUUAAAGAGGUACGCGAGCUGGGUUUAGAACGUCGUGAGACAGUUCGGUCCCUAUCUACCGUGGGCGUUGGAAAUUUGAGAGGAUCUGCUCCUAGUACGAGAGGACCAGAGUGGACGAACCUCUGGUGUUUCGGUUGUGACGCCAGUCGCAUUGCCGAGUAGCUAUGUUCGGAUGGGAUAACCGCUGAAAGCAUCUAAGCGGGAAGCCCACCUUAAGAUUAGAUUUCCCUAAAGAGCCGUUGUAGACUACGACGUUGAUAGGUUGGGUGUGGAAGCACAGCGAUGUGUGUAGCUAACCAAUACUAAUUGCUCGUUUGGCUUGACUAUACAACGCCUAA